rnacentral:ncRNA from 2 species
AAGCCAGAGGAAACUCUGGUGGAA